rnacentral:rRNA from 1 species
GCCAGCCCGCUCAGAACUCAAAGGAAUUGACGGGGCCGCACAAGCGGUGGAGUAUGUGGUUUAAUUCGAUGCAACGCGAAGAACCUUACCUGGUCUUGACAUCCCGGAGACCCUUAGGAAACUAGGGGGUGCUUCCAUCUGGAAGAAUCUGGAGACAGGUGCUGCAUGGCUGUCGUCAGCUCGUGUCGUGAGAUGUUGGGUUAAGUCCCGCAACGAGCGCAACCCUUGCCUUUAGUUGCCAGCAGUUCGGCUGGGCACUCUAAAGGGACUGCCGGUGUUAAACCGGAGGAAGGUGGGGAUGACGUCAAGUCCUCAUGGCCUUUAUGACCAGGGCUACACACGUACUACAAUGGCCGAUACAAAGGGCAGCGACACUGCGAGGUGAAGCCAAUCCCGUAAAAUCGGUCUCAGUCCGGAUUGGAGUCUGCAACUCGACUCCAUGAAGUUGGAAUCGCUAGUAAUCGUGGAUCAGCAUGCCACGGUGAAUACGUUCCCGGGCCUU